AAGCUUGCUUGUUGGGGUUGUAGGACACUCUAUACGGAGUUACAAAGGACGACAUUAGACGAAUCAUCUGGAAAGAUGAAUCAAAGAAGGUAAUAAUCCUGUAGUCGAAAAUGUUGUCUCUCUUGAGUGGAUCCUGAGUACGACGGAGCACGUGAAAUUCCGUCGGAAUCUGGGAGGACCAUCUCCUAAGGCUAAAUACUCUCUAGUGACCGAUAGUGAACCAGUACCGUGAGGGAAAGGUGAAAAGCACCCCGGAAGGGGAGUGAAAUAGAACCUGAAACCGUGUGCUUACAAGUAGUCAGAGCCCGUUAAUGGGUGAUGGCGUGCCUUUUGUAGAAUGAACCGGCGAGUUACGAUUUGAUGCAAGGUUAAGCAGUAAAUGUGGAGCCGUAGCGAAAGCGAGUCUGAAUAGGGCGUUUAGUAUUUGGUCGUAGACCCGAAACCAGGUGAUCUACCCUUGGUCAGGUUGAAGUUCAGGUAACACUGAAUGGAGGACCGAACCGACUUACGUUGAAAAGUGAGCGGAUGAACUGAGGGUAGCGGAGAAAUUCCAAUCGAACCUGGAGAUAGCUGGUUCUCUCCGAAAUAGCUUUAGGGCUAGCCUCAAGUGAUGAUUAUUGGAGGUAGAGCACUGUUUGGACGAGGGGCCCCUCUCGGGUUACCGAAUUCAGACAAACUCCGAAUGCCAAUUAAUUUAACUUGGGAGUCAGAACAUGGGUGAUAAGGUCCGUGUUCGAAAGGGAAACAGCCCAGACCACCAGCUAAGGUCCCAAAAUAUAUGUUAAGUGGAAAAGGAUGUGGCGUUGCCCAGACAACUAGGAUGUUGGCUUAGAAGCAGCCAUCAUUUAAAGAGUGCGUAAUAGCUCACUAGUCGAGUGACACUGCGCCGAAAAUGUACCGGGGCUAAACAUAUUACCGAAGCUGUGGAUUGUCCUUUGGACAAUGGUAGGAGAGCGUUCUAAGGGCGUUGAAGCAUGAUCGUAAGGACAUGUGGAGCGCUUAGAAGUGAGAAUGCCGGUGUGAGUAGCGAAAGACGGGUGAGAAUCCCGUCCACCGAUUGACUAAGGUUUCCAGAGGAAGGCUCGUCCGCUCUGGGUUAGUCGGGUCCUAAGCUGAGGCCGACAGGCGUAGGCGAUGGAUAACAGGUUGAUAUUCCUGUACCACCUAUAAUCGUUUUAAUCGAUGGGGGGACGCAGUAGGAUAGGCGAAGCGUGCGAUUGGAUUGCACGUCUAAGCAGUAAGGCUGAGUAUUAGGCAAAUCCGGUACUCGUUAAGGCUGAGCUGUGAUGGGGAGAAGACAUUGNGUCUUCGAGUCGUUGAUUUCACACUGCCGAGAAAAGCCUCUAGAUAGAAAAUAGGUGCCCGUACCGCAAACCGACACAGGUAGUCAAGAUGAGAAUUCUAAGGUGAGCGAGCGAACUCUCGUUAAGGAACUCGGCAAAAUGACCCCGUAACUUCGGGAGAAGGGGUGCUCUUUAGGGUUAACGCCCAGAAGAGCCGCAGUGAAUAGGCCCAAGCGACUGUUUAUCAAAAACACAGGUCUCUGCUAAACCGUAAGGUGAUGUAUAGGGGCUGACGCCUGCCCGGUGCUGGAAGGUUAAGAGGAGUGGUUAGCUUCUGCGAAGCUACGAAUCGAAGCCCCAGUAAACGGCGGCCGUAACUAUAACGGUCCUAAGGUAGCGAAAUUCCUUGUCGGGUAAGUUCCGACCCGCACGAAAGGCGUAACGAUUUGGGCACUGUCUCAACGAGAGACUCGGUGAAAUCAUAGUACCUGUGAAGAUGCAGGUUACCCGCGACAGGACGGAAAGACCCCGUGGAGCUUUACUGUAGCCUGAUAUUGAAAUUCGGCACAGCUUGUACAGGAUAGGUAGGAGCCUUUGAAACGUGAGCGCUAGCUUACGUGGAGGCGCUGGUGGGAUACUACCCUAGCUGUGUUGGCUUUCUAACCCGCACCACUUAUCGUGGUGGGAGACAGUGUCAGGCGGGCAGUUUGACUGGGGCGGUCGCCUCCUAAAAGGUAACGGAGGCGCUCAAAGGUUCCCUCAGAAUGGUUGGAAAUCAUUCAUAGAGUGUAAAGGCAUAAGGGAGCUUGACUGCGAGACCUACAAGUCGAGCAGGGUCGAAAGACGGACUUAGUGAUCCGGUGGUUCCGCAUGGAAGGGCCAUCGCUCAACGGAUAAAAGCUACCCCGGGGAUAACAGGCUUAUCUCCCCCAAGAGUUCACAUCGACGGGGAGGUUUGGCACCUCGAUGUCGGCUCAUCGCAUCCUGGGGCUGUAGUCGGUCCCAAGGGUUGGGCUGUUCGCCCAUUAAAGCGGUACGCGAGCUGGGUUCAGAACGUCGUGAGACAGUUCGGUCCCUAUCCGUCGUGGGCGUAGGAAAUUUGAGAGGAGCUGUCCUUAGUACGAGAGGACCGGGAUGGACAUACCUCUGGUGUACCAGUUGUCGUGCCAACGGCAUAGCUGGGUAGCUAUGUGUGGACGGGAUAAGUGCUGAAAGCAUCUAAGCAUGAAGCCCCCCUCAAGAUGAGAUUUCCCAACUUCGGUUAUAAGAUCCCUCAAAGAUGAUGAGGUUAAUAGGUUCGAGGUGGAAGCAUGGUGACAUGUGGAGCUGACGAAUACUAAUCGAUCGAAGACUUAAUCAA
rnacentral:rRNA from 1 species